CAACAAAAAUCGACAGUGCGAAUUUCGGUUCCCACAUUGGUUUCUUUUAUGUGAUUUAUGAACAUAUUGGAAUAAGAAAAAAUGUGAAAUGAAUCUCUGCUUUCUAUGUUUACUCUCUGCUUUCUUUCGGCAAUUGGGUAAAUCUCUAGAAUUGAUUAACAUCCCUACGCAUUGUAUAGGAGUAAGAACAUGCGAAGAAUAGAUGAUCGCGAGUCUCAUCCUUUUCCCCCACACAAAACACACUCAUGAUGAAUCUCCCAAAUCCUCAUUCUAUCACCUGUUGAAAGCAUGCUCCUGACUGCCAACCAAGUUAUGAAUGCAUAACGCAGAACCCCCUGCGGAAACCAAAUGCUACAACUCUAACUCACCUCAUCACGCUUAUCUGCGGAAACCAAAUGUAAGUUUGUUUCUCAUUUUUAUUUCCUAAAAAAAUUCACCUGAUUUUGAUUUUUUUCUCUAAUAAUUCAUUUUUAUCAAUUUCUUACAUAUUCAUUUCUUAAUUUCUUAUUUAUUUCUAAUAAAAUCAUUUAUUUGAUAAGAUUUAAAAUAAUACUCAUUUAUUUUAAAAUUUUAAAAUUUGAACUAGGCUUUAAUUUUAUUAAAAUAAAUUAUUUAUUAGCUUACAAUAUUAAAAGGGCUUAAGCUCAAUUCUUAGCGUGACCACAUCAUUUUAAAAAUCACAAUGAGAAUAAUGUGUUUUCGCCAUGACAUUCGCUCUUUUAUGGUGGCCUGUUAAUAAUUGGUGUUGGCCAGUAACCCAAAUCAUCUCCCUCAUGACCGUCUAUAUCCUUUUCGCCCCUUUCACUUUCCUAUCUUUGAAAGAAUUGAAAUGCCUCGGAACGAUGGAGAUCAUCGCAACCGAUAAGUUUACACUGUGGCCACAUCCAUGCUUACGGUGAUCAUUAACUUAUGGUCAAAGCUGGGUUUCUGGCAUUCUUUCCGAAGACGUGAAGAUCUAUGCUGCGUCGUUGGUGUUAACAAUAGUGUAUCCAUGCGCCAACGUCUGUUCUAUACAUGAUUAGAUGUCCAAGCUUCUUUCUCUCUUCCCCAACCUUCACGCUGCCUUCCUCUCCCGUGGUCCCAGUGGCGGCUCUGCUACUGCCUUUCCCAGCGCCGAUGGGAAAUCACCUUUAUGGGGAUCGAAGAACGCGACGCAGAUCUAUCCGAUCAGAAUGAUUAGGAGCAGCGAUGUAGUGAAUACGGGUUCAUGGGUUUCGACCUUGGUUCUGGAUCUGACCCGGUUAUCCAAUUGACGUUUUUUCUCAAGAUGAUAUAUGGUUAUUUUCCUGUCAUUAAACACAACAUGAAGAUGAGGACAUCUCAAAGAUCCAUCAUGAAUUUGAGCGGACGAAACAUAUGCCUAAGAUGAAUCCUCAAAGUUUGCCAUUGACUUUAACAAAAAAGGGUUUAUUAUGUUCUUUGAUUCUCAAUAUUGAUUUUGUCGAUUCAUACAUUUAGCUAUAUAUGUUAAUAAGAAUCUCAUAUUGGAUGCAUACAAGUUUACUGAUUUGAUUGUGAUUACCCAUUGGCACAUUAUAUUGCGCCUCUUACUUGCCCAGUUAGGAAUUUCCAAGAAGCACAUGGUUAAUGAGGUUAUCUAUAUGACCUUUUUCUUUGUUGUUCAUGUUUUUACAGACUUGUGUAUUUCUUGAGAAGUAUAUGAGCUCUAGUCUUGCAGUUUUGAUAUAGUUUUUGUGCAGACAACUAUUUUGGUUGUCGUAAGGUAUUGGUAAGCAAGAAAAUUUCUUUCUGAAUUGCAGCUUUGUGAUAAAUGAUUUGAUCUCUUCACCAUUAAUAUGAUUUUGCAGCUUAGUAGUACGGUAAACAAAAAAUAUGUAUACAUGUGUCAUGAUCAAAUGAGAGGUCUGGUGUGAUUCAUGGACUUCUUAUGCUUCAGCAGGGUCAGUUAACAUACAUUUAAGCAAUUUGGGCAGAGUAAAAUUAGAGACAUAGAUGGAUUUUCAUCCUACAAUUCAAAAAACAUCAAGCACAGAUCUACGUACUUGCAAGCCAACUUCCCCUAGAAAAUUAUAACGUUUCUUAAAGUUUGUCGGUGGUGAUAAUCAUGAAUUUAGGUUGCUCUCUUAAAAUGGGUUUCCAUCGUCUAGCCUAUACAUAUAUUUUUCAUUCCAAGAGAUGUAUAUUAUAUAUCUUAUUUUGGUACGAUGCAAAUUUUCUGAUGAAGGCAGCUCAUAUAACAAGUGCGUUGCACAGAAAAUAUGGCAAGCUGCACCAGGAGUUUGUGAAGAGUCUAUGCACAUACAAAGACAUAUUUGAGCUUAGAAACCGAGUCGAAGCAUUUGCUUUGCAGUAUGAGAUGCAUGCUUAUAGCUAUCAGAGAGAUUGUACACUUGCUGAACCAAGUAACAUCCGUAUUACACACUUUACAGAGGACUUCUGACUUCUAGGUUUUGAUUCCUAUAAUUCUAUAGAGUAUGAUCACCAUUGAGCCAAACGGUUGCCGCUUUUGAGUCACUCUCAGACUAGAUGCUUGACAGUGCUUCCGGCUAUUACUAGAACCAGACCAAUGGUCUGCACUAUAAAUUAGAUUCUCGAUUCAAUUAUAGUGACUCGAUAGGUACAUAACAAUUAUAGAUUUUUUUUUAUUUUCUUUCGGAUAGAAUUGUAUUCAAUUUCUUUCUUCGUGUGGGAGUAAACUGAUAAUGAAAAAGGACGUUGGAUGACACAAGAUGAAGCAUACUUUGCCGUUAAAGAAAACGUGGCAUGAGGCAACCAAGUGAAGUGCGCCUAGGAUGGUUGGUAAUCUGCUUUAUGGAGUAAGUCCAGUGUCAGCUACACUCUCUGUUGGGAGACAAGAGCUAUAUGCUCUGUUUGUUGAAGAAACUUUGGAUUUGAGCAGUAUCCAUAGGUAAAAACUCAAGUAAACUUUGAAGCAUCAUUUUAACACGGUUCCUGAUAAGAGAUACAUUGUUUGAGUUUGAUCCUGAUUUCAGUCUGAUGGAAAAUGAACAAGAAGGAAAUGGAUUGACUAGGAGUCUAGGAGAUUCUUCAAGGAGGGAUAUAUUUUUAGUGGCGCAAGAUCAAGAAAUCUGCUUCGGGGAUGUUUCAUAACCGAUGAAAACUUUUAAUGCAAUGCAUGUGCAGGAGUGACAGAGUGAGAGUACAUUUUGGAUUAUAUGCAAUGCAUGUGUAUGAAUGAGAGUACCUUUGUAUAUGUUUUAAAUUCCCACUACUCUAUUUCAUACUUCCUUA